GACGGAGGGUGCUAGCGUUGUUCGGAAUGACUGGGCGUAAAGGGCGCGUAGGCGGCCGCUUGCGUCGGAUGUGAAAGCCCGGGGCUCAACUUCGGAACUGCCUUUGAUACAGCACGUCUUGAGUCCGAUAGAGGUGGGUGGAAUUCCUAGUGUAGAGGUGAAAUUCGUAGAUAUUAGGAAGAACACCGGUGGCGAAGGCGGCCCACUGGACAGUAACUGACGCUCUGGCGCGAAAGCGAGGGUAUCAAACAGG
rnacentral:rRNA from 1 species